GGGAGAGGAGGUCUACCCUCAGAAGAGCCUCUGGUUGACGUCCUUCAGGUCCUCCGCCCGUCGGAUGGCCUCUCGUAUCCCAGAGUCUUCAUCUCUAAGACGGGCCGCCCCUGGAACCCCUCUCUGCUUUCAACCCAGCAGGGCGGCUCGCUCUCUGGGGGCCGGGCCCCGGACCCCAGCCCGUCUACAGGCGGCCCCCAACGGGACGAUUAAAGAGACGGCCGUUUACUGUAGAAGCCUUUAUUUUGUAAAAAGUUUGUUGUUUGAAUGAUAACCCUUUUUUACCACAUACUUGAACACCUUGUAUUUGUAGAAAACACAUUUUGUUCAAACACCUAAAAAAGCUGAUUGACACUAUAACAUUAAAUUGCACUGACAAAAAAAAUACAACUUCAUACCACACGAAUGCUGAUUCCAAGAGAACUGGUACUCCAAUUGAAAUCAAACACCUUAGUAAACAACGGAAUUAAAUAAGCGCCCAAUGUGAACAAAACAAUUACAGUACAAAAACCAAAUGCAUUUUUUUCUUCCAGCGCCAGUAUAUCUGAUGAUUUACAUUUCUUUCUCAUGAUAAAACAACAACAGUAAUAAUCCAACAAUCCAUAACAAAUGCAACAAAUACAAUAAAUCAGAAAUGAACAAAUUAAAUAAAUCACUUUUUUUUUGUUAAAAAAAAACAACAGGUUUUACUUUUGUGUUUUUCGAUCUUAAUCGCCAAAUUUCAUGUAAAGAAUCCGAACUUGAUUGGUCCCCAGGCUGCUGUCCUACUGUGGCUCUGGGGUCCACAGACCACAGACCACAGCAGCCGUCUGGGGCGAACCGGUCUGCAGGGACUCUGCUCCCUCCUGGCUCCGUGCUCUGAGCGGUGAAUCAUGUCAAAGCGUUACGCUGAACUCGACCAAACUACAGCGUUCACCUGCUGCUGUUACUCCAAACGGUCUAAAGCGAACCACACACAACCCGGAGACAGGCCUACACGCUGAGGGGGCUCCAGGGAGAAAGUUCUCCCAUCGAGAGGGUUCUACCAGUGAGAACAGAACGUUCUCCCAGUGAGAAGGUUCUCCGGUGAGAAGGUUCUCCAGUGAUACGGUCCUCCCAGUGAGAACCUUCUCCCAGUGAGAAGGUUCUGCGGUGAGAAGGUUCUCCGGUGAGAACGUUCUCCGGUGAGAAGGUUCUCCAGUGAGAACGUUCUCCCAGUGAGAACGUUCUCCGGUGAGAAGGUUCUCCCAGUGAGAAGGUUCUCCCAGUGAGAAGGUUCUCCAGUGAGAAGGUCCUCCCAGUGAGAAGGUCCUCCCAGUGAGAACGUUCUCCCUGUGAGAACGUUCUCCGGUGAGAAGGUCCUCCCAGUGAGAAGGUUCUCCAGUGAGAAGGUUCUCCAGUGAGAACGUUCUCCGGUGAGAAUGUCCUCCCAGUGAGAAGGUUCUCUGGUGAGAAGGUUCUCCCAGCGGGGGCUGUCUGGGUCUCAUGUAAACACGGGGCGUGGAGGUCCUGGUUGUGGAGGUCCAACGCAGGAGGAAUAGAAAAAUAGGAAAAUGAAUCCUUCCCAAAACCCAGGUCAUGCAAAACAAACCCUUGAAUACGGAGCAUGGGGACGGCACAGGGCUGGCCCAGGGGGGGGCCGGGGAGCGGACCGGGGGGCGGAGGUCGGACCGGGGCUGACCCCCCAGGGUGACGCCCCAGGGGCUGUUUGGUGGCUCUGUGGAGGGCGGCGGACGGAGACGUAUGGCUUAGUGAGGCCGCUCCCACUUCCUGCUUCGCUCCGUCUGGGGGCGUGGCCCGCGUGCGUCUGGGGGCGUGGCCCGCGUCCACCGUCUGUCACCUAACCUACAAGGCACGAAGUCGCGACCUAUCUGUGAAACCUACGAACGACGCCGGGAGGUCAAAACAAGAUGGCGGCUCUAGACUAGUGACGGCUCGGGUCCUCGUUUCCACGACGACAGCUCUAAAGACGAACAGAGGUUUCCCGGGCCGCCGUGAAACACCGACGCUGAACCUCCCUAACACAGACAGAGUGAACAGUGUAACUUGUGUUACUAUUUACGAAAGCACUGUUCGUACGAAGUGCACGUCAAGUUCCACUCCUGGUGCGAGCGUCGUUUAUAUCUUUGGUUUGCCGCCACCGUUCCUCAGCCGGGUGGUUCCGGCUGCGUCGCCGCACAGGGCCGGUUGGGGUGUGACGGUCUCUGCUCUCUGCUACUGUUGGCCGACUGAGAGGCUCCACAGGAGCAGUACGGUCACGGUGCCCCCGGUGGAGACUGGUGUCUCUACAGCCUCACAGGGCUACUGUGGGCCUCCUCUCCUACCACCUCCUAUCUCCAGGGGUCCCCUGGUCCUACAUUAGCCCCCCCCACACACACACACAUAAAGUAGGUGAGAAACGACCACUAGUUCACGUGUUGCUCACUCUGGGUUUUAAGAUUAAAACAACUAUUAUCAUCUGAACAAACGCGCAGCAACAGAGAAAUCCACCAGAAAGCAAAUUUUAUUUCAAUUUAGAAAAACGUCUAAAACGAGUUAGAAAAGAGCGAACCGAUCCGUCUGUCGGCUCAUCAGGUCUCGCUAUCGUCGCUCAUCGGACACGCCCCCGGGCGACGACUCCGGGAGACGGCUCUGGGGUACGCGCUACAGACCCGGAGAUGGCGGACGUGUUCUCAGUGCAGCUUCGGACGUACGUACGCCGUUACGUCAGAGCUCGGUACGGACGGACGGACACCGUGCCGCGAGAGUCGCACGCCUCCACAGAGCCAGCCCCCGGGACACCCCCCCGUCAGACCUCCUGCUGUCCAACCAUGCUCCGUAUCUCUCCUCCCCCUCCUCCAGCUCCUCCUCCUCCUCCAGCUCCUCCUCCUCCUCCUCCAGCUUCUCCUCCUCCUCCUCCCC
ensembl:lncRNA